UACGAAGGGGGCUAGCGUUGCUCGGAAUCACUGGGCGUAAAGCGCACGUAGGCGGACUCUUAAGUCGGUGGUGAAAUCCUGGAGCUCAACUCCAGAACUGCCUUCGAUACUGAGAGUCUCGAGUCCGAGAGAGGUGAGUGGAGCUGCGAGUGUAGAGGUGAAAAUUCGUAGAUAUUCGCAAGAACACCAGUGGCGAAGGCGGCUCACUGGCUCGGGUACUGACGCUGAGGUGCGAAAGCGUGGGGAGCAAACAGGG
rnacentral:rRNA from 1 species